rnacentral:rRNA from 1 species
AUGCCCAAAAGAAAAACAAGAGAAAAGCAAAAGAAAGAAAUGCCGGCAGCACCGGAUGAACGAAAGCUGAAGCAUCCCGCAACCGUUAUGCUCACCGGAGAUAUCCACCACGCUCCAAUGCCAUCGAGUCACCGCGAACCAAGCAACACCUUCAAGAAGGACUGCGACGACGACGACGCUGCUGCCCGGACGAAUCCUAGGAUUUCUCCCGGUACACGGAGGGAAGUGGGGGAGAGGUACUCCCGACGCCCUUCAAGAAGGUUGAUGGCGCCCGCAGGCGUCCCCGCGUCGGUGCCGGGCGGACCCGAGAGGGAUUUUGCCCUACCCCUCAAACCCACAACCCAGGACCAACCGGCGGCUCCACUACGUCGACCGCCCACCACCCUGCGCCACCACAAUCACGAGGACACCACCGUCGCCUCUCCAUCGAAUACACUGCGAGGCCAGCCGAACCAAACGAGACCACCGUCGAUAGGGACCGGGAGCACCACAACCACGUGGGAGGGGACAACCUCCACUGGCACAAGCAGUAGCAGACCGAACGCAGGCGUGGGAGCACGUCGGACCCCCUGCCCAGCCGGGCCCAGAACGGGCCCGUUAAGCUCCUGCCGCCGCGUUGCAGCCGACGCAGCGCGGGGCCGCCGAUCCCAACGACCGCAUCCCGACAGCCCAGCCGAAGGAGACCCGCCGGAGGCCAGACCAGCCCGCCCUGACCCAGAUCGGACCCAAAAGGGCCCAGAUCUGGGCCUGCAGGGCUCCACCGACCGACCCACGCCGUCAGCCGCCACCGCCGCCAAAGGACCGCGCCGCCGCCGCAUCUGCGCUCGAUCUACAUCGGAGCACCGCCCGCCGAGGUGCACCAUCGCCGGAAACCGCCGCCCGAGCCGGGGAACCGCGAGGGGAAGAGGAAGAGGGCUGCCACCACCGGCCUCGCCACGGCGCUGCGCGGGCAACGCCCGGCCACGCUAG